GAUGAAGAACGUAGCGAAAUGCGAUAAGUAGUGUGAAUUGCAGAAUUCAGUGAAUCAUCGAAUCUUUGAACGCACAUUGCGCCCUUUGGUAUUCCAAAGGGCAUGCCUGUUCGAGCGUCAUUUGUACCCUCAAGCUUUGCUUGGUGUUGGGCGUCUUGUCUCUAGCUUUGCUGGAGACUCGCCUUAAAGUAAUUGGCAGCCGGCCUACUGGUUUCGGAGUGCAGCACAAGUCGCACUCUCUAUCAGCAAAGGUCUAGCAUCCAUUAAGCCUUUUUUUCAACUUUUGACCUCGGAUCAGGUAGGGAUACCCGCUGAACUUAAGCAUAUCAAUAAGCGGAGGA
rnacentral:misc_RNA from 1 species